GGAGGGGCCCUGGCUCAGUUGUAGAGCUUGUGUUUGGCACACAGAAGGUCUCAGGUUCAAUCCCUAGCAUCUCCA
rnacentral:tRNA from 1 species